rnacentral:rRNA from 5 species
GAGGUAGUGACAAGAAAUAACAAUACGGGGCUUAAAGUCUUGUAAUUGGAAUGAUGGGAAUUUAAACCUCUUCCAGAGUAUCAAUUGGAGGGCAAGUCUGGUGCCAGCAGCCGCGGUAAUUCCAGCUCCAAUAGCGUAUAUUAAAAUUGUUGCAGUUAAAAAGCUCGUAGUUGAAUUUCUGCUGCAUUGCUUGUGUCCCUCCGGGGUCUGUGCAUGUGGCUUUUUUCGGACGGAGUUUCUUUGUCUGAAUGUUUACUUUGAGAAAAUUAGAGUGCUCAAAGCAGGCUUUUGCCUUGAAUAGUUUAGCAUGGAAUAAUAGAGUAGGACUUUGGUUCUAUUUUGUUGGUUUUAGGUACCAAAGUAAUGGUUAAUAGGAACAGUUGGGGGCAUUCGUAUUUAACUGUCAGAGGUGAAAUUCUUAGAUUUGUUAAAGACGAACUACUGCGAAAGCAUUUGCCAAGGAUGUUUUCAUUAAUCAAGAACGAAAGUUAGGGGAUCGAAGA